rnacentral:rRNA from 1 species
GAAUUCACUAGUGAUUCAGGCCUAACACAUGCAAGUCGAGCGGGGUUUUCGGACCUAGCGGCGGACGGGUGAGUAAUGCGUAGGAGGCUACCCGAUAGAGGGGGAUACCAGUUGGAAACGACUGUUAAUACCGCAUAAUGUCUACGGACCAAAGUGUGGGACCUUCGGGCCACAUGCUGUCGGAUGCGCCUACGUGGGAUUAGCUAGUUGGUGAGGUAAUGGCUCACCAAGGCGACGAUCCCUAGCUGGUUUGAGAGGAUGAUCAGCCACACUGGAACUGAGACACGGUCCAGACUCCUACGGGAGGCAGCAGUGGGGAAUAUUGGACAAUGGGCGCAAGCCUGAUCCAGCCAUGCCGCGUGUGUGAAGAAGGCCUUCGGGUUGUAAAGCAAUGUCAGCGAGGAGGAAGGGUUGUGUGUUAAUAGCACACAGCCUUGACG